rnacentral:rRNA from 1 species
UACGUAGGUGGCGAGCGUUGUCCGGAUUUACUGGGUGUAAAGGGCGCGUAGGCGGGGCGGCAAGUCCGAUGUGAAAUCCCGCGGCUCAACCGUGGAACCGCAUCGGAAACUGUCGUCCUUGAGUAUCGGAGGGGAAAGCGGAAUUCCUAGUGUAGCGGUGAAAUGCGUAGAUAUUAGGAGGAACACCGGUGGCGAAGGCGGCUUUCUGGCCGAAAACUGACGCUGAGGCGCGAAAGCGUGGGGAGCAAACAGG